AUAUCCGGUAAAAAUGAUAAACGUUUUCGGUUGGGGCGACCCUGGAGAAAAAUAAAUCCUCCAAGCUGAAUAGACUAAAAUCUAAUGUUAGAACAACAAUUCAAACAAUCAAAACCUUGACAAAAUGACCCAGAAUUUAUCUGAUCAACGAACCAAGUUACCCUGGGGAUAACAGCGCAAUCCAUUUCAAGAGCCCUUAUCGACAAAUGGGUUUACGACCUCGAUGUUGGAUCGGGAUAUCCCAGCAG
rnacentral:rRNA from 1 species